rnacentral:rRNA from 1 species
UACGUAGGGUGCGAGCGUUGUCCGGAAUUAUUGGGCGUAAAGAGCUUGUAGGCGGUCUGUCGCGUCUGCUGUGAAAAUCCGGGGCUCAACCCCGGACUUUCAGUGGGUACGGGCAGACUAGAGUGUGGUAGGGGAGACUGGAAUUCCUGGUGUAGCGGUGAAAUGCGCAGAUAUCGGGAGGAACACCAGUAGCGAAGGCGGCACUCUGGGCCGGUACUGACGCUGAGGAGCGAAAGCGUGGGGAGCGAACAGG